UCGAGAAUCUUUCACAAUGGGGGCAACCCUGAUGGAGCGACGCCGCGGGGAGGAUAAGGUCUUCGGAUUGUAAACUCCUGUCAUGCGUGAACAAGGUUGCUUGGUUAAUACUUGGGCAAAUUGAUGGUAACGCAAGAGGAAGAGACGGCUAACUCUGUGCCAGCAGCCGCGGUAAUACAGAGGGCUCAAGCGUUGUUCGGAAUCACUGGGCGGAAAGGGUGCGUAGGUGGCGUGGUAAGUCAGAUGUGAAAGCCCGGGGCGCAACCUCGGAACUGCAUCCGAUGCUUCCAUGCGAGAGUACUGGCGAGGUGACUAGAAUUCUAGGUAUAGCAGUGAAAUGAGGAGAUAUCGGGAGGAAUACCAAAGUCGUAGGCAGGUCACUGUACAGUUACUGACACUGAGGCACGAAGGUGAGGGGAGCGAACG
rnacentral:rRNA from 1 species